rnacentral:lncRNA from 1 species
AUCAUAGUGUUUCCAACCUAUAGAUUUUAUCGCCUUACACUACCCUAAACAUGAUCUCCGCCGAAUUUGUAUCCCUUCUCAGCCGCAUCCAUCGGCCUCACCACAUCCGGUGACACUAAUUUGCUUAUUCGGGCACAGAUCUCACAAGGCGUGCAUGGAUCUGGUUUCUAGGUCUCUUCGAUGUGGGUGUCAAUUAUGCUAGCCCUAUCCGCUAUCUAUGCCACCCUUUUGCGCGUGCUAUGAAGUAGGUAAGUUCUUACUAGAUCUGUGGUUCUUUCCCCAAAUCUGAAGUACCCAUUGAUAGUUAUAUUGGUAUUCUUUUAUGAAUGUGGUUGAUUUAGGAAAAUUAAAAUACAUAGUUUUGACAAAUAUUAUUUUCUUAUGUGGAUGGCAACUUCUUUUGUUAGAAAUAUAUGGUUUUGUUACCCUCGGAUAAAAGGUUGUACGUUUUUGUGCACUAUACUAAAUUUGAGGUGAUUCAGAACAGUAAGUUUUUCAGGAAAUUGUCAAUGUGUUACACAGACUUUCAAACUCUUCAAAUGAGAAAACUACUUCAGUCUUCUUGUCAUUUAUAAUUGGACCCUCCCACCCCCAUUUUUUUGCAUCUUUCUCUCCUACAAUCUCUAUGCAAUCUGCAAACAUAUAAAUUUCAUAAAUGUGGAUGUGGUUGUUUAACGAAAACUUAAAGUGUGUACUUCUGAUAGUGUAUUGUAUUGCUUUUAUUAUGUGGAUGCUGAUUUCUUUUGUUAGAAAUACAUGAUUUUGUUAGCCUUAGACAAAAUUUGAUACGUUUUUGUGCAGCAUACUAAAUUUUUAGGCGAUCCAAAAUAGUAAUCAUCCCUAUCGCAAAAGCGACGCCAACCUGCAGAUUUCAUCACCUUCCACCGAUUUAAACAUGGGUGCCGCUAAAUUCGUGUCCCUUCUUAGCUGCAUCCAUCGGCAUCCCCAUAUCUGGCGACACUAAUUUGCUUAGGUCGUCAUAGAUCUCACAAGGCAUGCACAUACAUGCAUGGCUUCUAGGUCUCUUUGACAUGGGUGUCGAUUGUGCUAACCAUAUCCUUUAUCUACGUCACCCUUUUUCCGAUGAAAUGAAGCUCGUAAGUUCUUACCAUAUCUAUGGUUCUGUAGCCAAAAUUUAGAUAACAAUUCUCAUUGUCCCACACACUUCAAACUUGACAACCGCUCCAGCCUUCUUACCUGUUAUAGUUGGACCCAUCCUGCCCCUUUUUGCAUCUUUAUCUACUACCAUCUCUUUAGAAUCCCCACCUAUAAAUUUAGUCACCUUCCACCGUUCAAAACAUGGGCACCACUGACUCAUGUCCCUUCUCAGCCACAUCCAUCGUCCUCUCCACAUCUCGUUAUGCUAAUUUGUUUGUGUCGUGAUAGAUUGUCCAAGGCAUGCAUGGAUCUAGUUUCUAGGUUUCUUCGACAACAGGAUUGAUUGUGCUAGACAUAUACUCUAUCUAUAUCAUCCUUUUGCAUAUGCAAUGAAGUAGGUGAUUUCUUACUAGGUAUGUGGUUAUUUAGCCAAAUUUGAAAUGACCAGUGACGGUUAUGUUAGUUUUUCUUUGGUAGAUGUGGUCGUUUGGGGGAAGCUGAAUAUACAUAGUUUUGAGAUUAUAUUGUUUUACUAUUGUGUAUGGUGAAUUCUUUUAUUAGAAAUAUAUGGUUUUGUUAUCCUCGGACUAAAGUUAAUAUCUUGUUUGCAAUAUACUAAAUUUUGAGGCUAUCUAGAACAGUCGAGAAAAUUCUCAUUGUCCCACACACACUUCCAAACAUUUGAAACGAGACAACCAUUUGUGGAUGUGGUUGUUUUAGGAAAACUUAAAAUAUGUAGUUUUGAUAGUAUAUUACUUUUCUUAUGUGGAGGGAAAUUUAUUUUAUUAGAAGUAUAUGGUUUUGUUAACCUCGGACGAAAAUUGGUAUGUUUUGUGCAACAUACUAAAUUUUGAGGCAAUCCAGAACAAUAUGUUUUUGAGAAAAUUCGCAGUGUCUUCCCAAAAAUUCAAAUGAGACAAAUGGUCCAACCUUCUUAUAUUUUAUAGUUUGACCCUCCCUCACAAGUUUCGUUUCUUUUUUCGCAACUUUCCCCAUUACCAUAUCUUUCCAAUCCCAUAGUCAUCCAUAUCACGAAAGCGACGCCAGCCUAUAGAUUUGGUCGUCUUCCACGACUCUAAACAUGGGUGUCGUCGACUCGAUGUAUCUUCUCAGCCACACCCAUCGGCAUCCACUCAUUCUUAUGCCGCUACAAAUCUCACAAGGCGUGCACGGAUAUGGUUCCUAGGUUUCUUUGCUGGGGUGUUGAUUGUGCUAGCCCUAUCCUCUAUCUAUGUGAUCCUUUUGCCAAUGUAAUGAUGUAGGUAAGCUCUUACCAUAUAUAUAGUUCUUUAGCUAAAAUUAAAAUAACCAGUAAUAGUUAUAUAAGGUCUUAUUUUGUGGAUGUGGUUGUUCUAGUAAAAUCCAACCUUCUUAUCUUUUAUAGUCGACCCCCCAUCAUAGUUUUAUUUAUCUGUUUGUAUGUUUCUAUUUUACCAUAUCUUUUCAAUCCCCACCACCACCCAUGUCAUGAGCGUUGCCAACCUAUAGAUUUCGUCGCCUUCCACCACUCUAAACAUGGGCACCGUCGAAUCCAUGUCCCUUCUCAACCACAUCCAUAGGCCUCCCCACAUCCGGCGACGCUAGUUUCCAUAUGUCGUCAUAGAUCUCACAUGGCCUGCAUGGAUCUAGUUUCCAGGUUUCUUUCUGUGCCGCCCUUUAUCCAACACAAUUAAAUAGGUAUGUUCUUAUCAGGUCCGUGGUUUUUUAACCAACUUUGAAAUAACCAUUGAUAGUUAUAUCAUUUUUUAUUUUGUGUGUGUGGUUGUUGUAGGAAAAUUUAAAAUACUUAGUUUUGAUGGUGAUUUAUUUUAUUAGAAAUAUACGGUUUUGUUAGCCUUGGACAAAAGUUGUCACAUGUUUGUGCAGUAUACAACAUUUUGAGGUGAUUCGGAAUAGUAAGUUUUCAAGAAAAUUCUCAUUGUCCUGCACACACUUUCGAGCACUUAAAACGAGACAAUUGGUCUAGAUUUCUUAUGUUUUAUAGUUGGAUCCCUCCCACCCCAGGUUGUGUUUUUUUGGCUCUUUCUCUCUUACCAUCUCUUUCCAAUCCAUGUUGUGAUCCCUAUCAUGGAAAUGGUGACAACCUGUAGAUUUCGUCACCUUCCGCCACUCAGAACAUGUACGCCACCGACUCCAUUUCCCUUCUCAUUUGCGUCCAUCGGAAUCCCCACAUUUGGAGAAGCUAAUUUGCUUAUGUCUUUAAAGAUCUCACAAGGCAUCCACGGAUCUGGUUUCUAUGUAUAUUUAAGAUGGGUGUCGAUUGUCCUUGCCCUAUCCUUUAUCUAUGUCAUCCUUCUGUCGAUUCAAUGAAGUAGGUAAGUUAUUACCAUACAUGUGGUUCUUUAGCAAAAUUUUGAAUAACCAUUGAUUGGUAUAUUAGUUUUUGUUUUGUGGAUGUGGUAGUUUUAGGAAAACUAAAAUACGUAGUUUUGAAAGUAUAUUGUUUUUGUAAUGUGGAUGGCAAUUUAUUUUGUUAUAAAUAUAUGGUUUUGUUAGCCUCACACUAAAGUUGGUAUGUUUUUCUUCAACAUACAAAAUUUUGAGGCGAUCCAUAGUAGUAAGUUUUUGACCAAAUUCUUAUUGUCCACACACACUUCCCAACACUUCAAACAAGACAACUAUUACAACCUUCUUAACUUUUAUAGUUGGACCCCUUCCACCCCAGAUUUUUUUUUGCAUCUUUCUCUCUUACCAUGUCUUUCCAAUCCCCGUCGUCAACCUAAUCGUCAAAGUGGUGUCCAAUUGUAGAUUCCGUCGCCUUUCAUCAUUCUGUACAUGGGCAUUGUCGACUCCAUGUCCCUUUUUAGUCGUAUCCAUGAGCCUCCCCACACCUAGCAAGGCUAAUUUUCUUAUGCCAUCAAAAGUAUCACAAGACAUGCACAUAUCUUGUUUGUAGGUUUCUUUGAAAUGGGUGUUGAUUGUGCUAGGGUUAUCCUCUAUUGGUGUCCCCCUUUAGCCAGUGGAAUGAAGUAUGUAAGUUCUUACCAGAUAUGUGGUUCUUUAGCCAAAUUUGAAAUACCCAUUGAUAGUUAUAUUAGUAUUUAUUUUUAUGAAAUCGAUUUUCAAAAACUACUAAUCCUUAACUUUUUGAGUUUCUGAAUAUGGUUGUUUUAGGAAAACUUAAAAUACGUAGUUUUGAUAGAAUAUUGUUUUUCUUAUGUGGAGGGCAAUUUCCUUUAUUGGAAAUAUAUGGUUUUGUUAGUAUCAGACAAAAGUUGGUACUUUUUGUGCAGCAUACUAAAUUUUGAGGCGAUCGAGAACAACGGGUUCUCGAGCAAAUUCCCAUUGUCCUACACGCACUACCCAACACUUCAAACUAGACAACCGGUCAAGCCUUCUUGUUUUUUAUAGUUGGUCUUGUCCCACCGCAAGUGUUGUUUCUCUUUUAUGCAUCUUUCACUCUUACCAUCUCUUUCGAAUCCCCACCAUCAUCCAUAUCAGGAAAGCGAGGCCAACCUUAUUUCGGUUGCCUUCCACCAUUCUAAACAUGGGCACCACAGACUCCAUUUCCCUUCUUAGCCACAUCCAUCGGCCUCCCCACAUCUGGUGACGCUAAUUUGCGUAUGUUGUCACGAAUAUCACAAUACGUGCACGGAUAUGGUUUCUAGGUUUCUUUGAUAUGGGUGUCGGUGGUGCUAGACCUAUCCACUAUCCAUGCCAUCCUUUUGUCGAUGCAAUGAAGUAGGUAAGUUCUUACCAAAUAUGUGGUUCUUUAGCCAAAUAUGGAAUAUCCUUUGAUAGUUAUGUUAAUUCUUCUUGUGUGGAUGUUAUUGCUUUGGGAAAACUUAAAUACGUACUUUUGUAGUUUUGAUAGUAUAAUGUUUGUCUUAUGUGGAUGAUGAUUUCUUUUGAUAGAAAACAUAUGAUCUUGUUAGUCCCACACUAAAGGUGGUACGUCUUUCCGCAACAUACUAAAUUUUGAGACGAUCUAGAAUAGUAAGUUUUCGAGCAAAUUUUCAUUGUCCCACACACACUUCCCAACACUUCAAACGAGGCAACUCGCCAACCUUAUAUUUUAUAGUGGACCCCUCCAACCCAUGUUUUGUUUCUCCUUUUUCAUAUUUCUCUCUUACCAUCUCUUUUCAAUCCCCAUCGUCAUCCCUAUCAUGAAAGCGGUGCCAACUUGUAGAUUUUGUUGCCUUCCACCACUCUAAACAUGGGUGCCACCGACUCCAUUUCACUUAUUAGCAGCAUCCAUCGGCUUCUCCACAUCUGUUGUUGCAAAUCACACAAGGUGUUCACAAAUCUGGUUUCUAGGUUUCUUUGAUAUGGCUUCUAUUUAUGCCAUUCUUUUAUCAAUGCAAUGAAGUAGGUAAGUUCAUACCAGAUCCUUGGUUAUGUAGCCAAAUUUGAAAUAACCAUUGAUACGUAUACUAGUUUUUUUCUUUUGUGGAUGUGGUUGCUUUAGGAAAAUUUAAAAUACAUAGUUUUGACACAUAUUAUUUUCUUUUGUGGAUGGCGAUUUCUUUUGUUACAGAUAUACGGUUUUGUUAGCUCGGACGAAAGUUGGUACAUUUUUGUGCAACAUACUAAAUUUUGAGGUGAUUUAGAACAACACGUUUUUGAACAAAUUCUCAUUGUACCACACACACUUGCCAACACUUUAAACAGACAACCGGUCCACCGUUCUUAUCUUUAUAGUUUGGCCUCUUCCACCCCAAUUUUUGUUUCUCUUUAAAAAUAUUCCUCUCUUACCAUCUCUUUUCAAUCCUCGUUGUCAUCCAUAUCAAGAAAGGGAUGCCAACCUAUGGAUUUUGUCGCCUUCCACCACUCUAAACAUGGGUGCCACAGAUUCCAUGUCACUUCUUAGCCAUUGGCCUCCCCACAUGGCUCCCCACAUUAGGUAACAUGGAAUAUUGUGUUGUCAGAGACAUCACAAGGCGUGCAUGAAUUUGUUUUUCUAGGUUUCUUUGAUACGGGUGCCAACUACGCUAGCCCAAUACUUUGUCUUUGUCACCCUUUUAUCGAUGCAAUGAAGUAGGUCAGUUAUUUUCAUAUAUGUGACUCUUCAGUCAAAUUUGAAAUAACCAUUGUUAAUUUUAAUAGUUUUUAUUUGUGGAUGUGGUUAUUUUAUGCAGUGAGAGAUUUUAUUUCAACACGCCAUCGCGACCUUCGCCUCGUUGAUGCCACCAGGGAAACACAAUCUAAGGGGAAAAAAACUAAACAAUGAGGUCCCCACUCCUUUUGCCACCGAGCUAAGAGAUGGUGGCGAACCGAGGUGGUGGUGUGGAGACCUUUGACAGCGGCAGGGGGAAGGGUUGGGAACGAGCAAUGGGAUAAAGAAUAAGUUGAAAUUAUGUUGAGUUGGGUAAGUUGAAAUUUCUCUCCGGUGUUGAAUAAGGCACUUUUCUGUGUUAUUCCUUGUUAGAAAGAAAGGGUGAGUUUACUCAAGUAGGGCAUUUUAGAGCCCGAGCUUCAUAGAGGGCUUAAUUUUGAAAAAAAAAAUCAAACUUACUAGUUUCAAAAACUUCUAAAAGAAAUGCACAUGCAUACAAGGAUGUAAUGUGUAUGUUUGUAAAGAUUCAGGAUUCAAAACCUUGAAUUGCAAGCUGCGCAAAAAAACAUGGGCUUUAAGGAUGAACAGUAUAUAUGUAAAAAAGUUACAGAUUUGUUUUCUUUUUCUGUAGCCCUCAUUUUAACAUAUUUAGACCUGAAAAUUAUAUACAUGUACAUUAUGUCUCAAUGUAUAUGUCUCUGUUUUUCUGAAUUUUUAGAAACUGGAAAUUUUGAAUUUGAAGUUUACUCCCCUGAAACUAAAAUCCAUGGUUCACCUAACGGUUUAUAUAAGAAACUUCUUUUCUUUUCCUUAUUCAUGCACGUGGAGUUCUUGAGUUUUCUCAAUCAUAUUUUUUUUAGGCCCUAAGUAAUGUUGUACGGCAUUUCGUAAUGGUAUUUUGUAAACAUAGAAAGAGUCAUUUUGCCUAGGCAUAGUCACACCAUGUCGCAAACAUGGAAAGCAAUUCAAACAUUAAUAGGGGGAAAAAGACUAGGCACAGUCACACCAUGUCCUAAACAUGGAAGGCAAUUCAAACUUGGAGGGGAAAAAAGACUAGCAUAGUGACAAUUGAGACCGAUUUCCCUAUUCAAUAGCACACACUAAAUGCCUGACUUCUCCACUUUCCACUUCCGCCGCACGAGCAAAGCACCAAGCGGCAUGGAAAUGAGCAAGUAUUUUAACAUGGCUGACAAAAUAUCAAGGAUAACAACAGCCACUCUAACGAAGAGUGGAAGAGGCACUUCUAUCUGGUAAACGGAAGAACAGAAAGAAUGAAAGAGGACACACCGAAUUACCGAAAGGAACCUGGCUUUGAGACCCAUAUUACCUGCUGCUAACAGCAUCCUAGUUAUAUAACUCUCCCCCUAAAUAAACCACCUAAAGAAUGGAAAACGGUCAGCGGUGACCCAUCCUUUAGUAUGUACAAUGUCAACUUCGCACAGACGGUAUAACUAGUCUAACUUUCUGAUGAUUAAAAGUAUGUCCAGUAACCAAUGCCAAUUUCAGUUCCACAUGAUCGCUAUCACCGCAUACCAACAGCUAGAUGGAAAAAAAAAUCCAUUGAUAUACCCCAGCGCCCUUCAUACGAUAUUACAUUCCACCUGAAUAGAAAGACUGAUCAGCACAGUAAACCCAAUUCUUGUUGCAGCAAUAAUGCGGUCAUCAAAUACUGUAGAAUAUAACUGAGCUUACCUGCCAUAACAUUCGGCAGCAUUUGCUCCGGCACUCAGAUCACCAAUGCAUUAAAGCUGAAAGCUCAUCAUUGCCACUCCCGGCAAGUACCACACCUCCAAUUGGCACUGUCACCAGGUUGUUCGCUUUCCUGCCAAGGUGAGCACUGAUGGUGUACACACAGGCCACAGGAAGAACAUUUGAGAUCAGGUGGCGGUUGAGGAUCCUUGCACUUGUGGCACACUAACUCGUCAAUGGAUGGAUCGGUUGCUGGGAAGUGCACAUUUGAAGACUCUUCUUCUACCAUGAAAGUCAAUUCAUCAAAACUAGCCCCUUGCUGAUCAAAGCUUCCUGCAAAGUUACCAUCAUCUUGCAGACCAGUAGACAUCCCGAAUGUGUUAUCAAACUGUGUAUCAUCAGCUUCGAGCAACUCUGUGAAUGAGAAAUAAGUCUGUGGUUCAUAUUCCUCGGCCACAAUGCUGCCACCACUAGUGUCAUUCCACUGGGAAUUAGUGCCAUGAUCAGGACCAGCAGCAUAUCCGUUUCCUUGGGUAAAAUCCCAACCCAAUAACUCCGAAGCAUCCACACCAUCAGCCUCUGACAUGGAAAAUUCAGUCAUAUGACCGAAAUUAAUGUUUGCCUCCCCUGGAGGUUGGUUCUGAACAUAAUACCCAUUCACUGAUGUUCCAGCUUGAUCAAGGUAUUCAGAAUUCUUAACUUGUGCCCUUCUUAUGGACAAUUUCUGAUUAUUUCCUGGCAUAAGGCUUCCCAUGUUUAUUGAUAAAUCAGCAUUCAUCGAUUCUUCCCCAAUCGGUUCAACAAUUCCGUAUGAAGCAAGCAGUGGGUCUUGAUCUGCUAUAGCGAAAGUCUCCUCACCAGAGAGCAUAGUUGAUUGUGAUGACAUAGUGGCUGUUUGUUCACUGACUUCUGGUUCAGGCUCCCUGUAAUCAUCUGAAUGAGGACAUUGCGGUAUGGCUCUCCUUCGGCAUCUACAGCAUCGAUAUUGAACCACUUCAGUUAUUCUUUCUUCCUCAAGUUGCAAGGCAUCACCAUGAAACCACUCUGUAUGCAGGAGGAUACCAAGAUGUUAAAAGAAAAUGAAAGAUAACACAAAACAUGUACCUUUAAGCAACAACAAUUAGAAACAUACUUACUUUGGCACCUCUCACAGCGGACAUACAUGAAAUCUGGACUGUAAGGUUUGUUACAGAGACAGCAAGCUGGUUGUAUUGAAGAACCUAUACCAUCCUUGCUUUUUAGGAUUAUGUCAUUGACCCUGAAAUCUUCUCCACUAAUGUCAUUCUUAUUUUUCUUCCAAACAAGACCAAAGUAUGUGAUAACCUGAACUUUUUUAGGUUUUUUUGGCUUUUCUGGCUUCGGUUUUUUAGUUUUAGCCUUUGGCUGAACCUGCACCCUUGCAAUAUUUUGAGUUGCCACAUUUGUACGAGGCACGGAUCCUGCCUUUGGUAUUGGCUGGGUUUCCACCUUCAUGAUUGUUUGGGUUUCCACCUUCGUUGGCUGACUUUCCACCUUUGCAACUGGCUGAGCUUCAAUCUUAGCUGCAACAUUCAUGGCUGGUUCAGAAGAAUGGGCAGAACGAACCGUGAAGAUUAUUUUGGGAGCAGUCACUGACAGUUGGCCAUUACUCUUUUGUUGAGACAAGGCAGAAUUUGCAUUUGUCUUUUUCUGGAUGAGAUUAUGCUUCUGAAGGCAUAACUUGCACAUCAAAUUCGGAGCAGUAUUGCCUCCUUUGCUGCCAACAGAUCCUGAUGUGCACUCUUUAUGGCAAUUGCCUGCAAAAUAUUCGUGCUUAUCAAUAUUUUGACUUGGUAUUGGACAGCUUAGAAAUUGACUAGUUAUCUUUUUAACCGCACAUGAGGGGGGGAAAACAACUUUAAGUACAUGCCAAUAAACUGGUACAUACCUUGACAAGAGCUACACUUUACGGCAUCCCUACAUGUGAUUUACCCAACAAAACACAUAUGAGAAGUGAAGAAAAUCGGUUGCACUGACAAGAAAAGAAUAAUUGAAUGAGCGCAACAGAGAUGUGAAGAAGAGGGCACCUGAAGGCCACAUCCUUCUCACAUGAGGAGCAGGCAUAUACAUCUCCCUUGUGAAAGAGAUAGAAAAAGAUAUCCCCAAUGGUUGCCUUUACACGUCUUUGGUAGAAAUUUGUGAAACUGUUAGAGAUUAUCAUUCCUGGACUAGGUGAGGAGCUAACCCCAGCUUUCUGCUCAAAAUCCCGUACUAAAUACAGUGGGACAUGGCUUUCAGAAAACCACAAUUUGCCAUUCUCAUCCUGAUUAUCUUCUGCUUCCAAGAUAUUCUUGGUUACACGCACAGGAAGAUGCUUCUGGUUUGAAAACUUCAGUGCAUAUCUUAUGUUACCAUCGACUACUUUUCUAUCACAAACUACUGCGUUUCUGAGAGCAGAAUGGUCAGCAUCUGAAAUUUUUCCAUCUGAAGGAAUUUGGUCUGGAGGGAUGAAUUCCUUCCAUUUUAUAUGAGUGUCAAGGUAUCUAACCUGAGAGAGAGAAAGAGAGAGAGAGAUUAGGAUCAUUGUCAAUAUUUAAGUCAGAGUAACUCUUUUAAACAUUAGGAAUCAUGUUCAAGAUGCUAACCUGCAGAGCAAGUUGAGAUGAAUUAUGGCUUAACCCAACACAUGCUCGCCAAGCAAAUUGUCGAGUUCGUCUUGGAAAAUUGGAAGCUUCAUGAUAAGAUAGACCUGCUAUCUUUCUUUUACCACCUAUUGAGCAACAUAACAUGUCAAUUUAUUCUUACCAUCAAUGCAAACAGGGGAUGGAAUGAUAGUCAUAACACUAAUCAAAGAUGAGUGGUACCUUGACGAGCAGCUUUUCUUACGGACGAACUCGGAAGAACCCCCCUCUGCAAAAUACAUUUAGAAAUAUUUCCUCCAUUCCACCAAUUCACCUCUUUCCAGCUCUUGUCAUCAUCAGUAACAGUAGAAGAUUCAGAUGCCAACAAACGUUUUCUUCCCCGCCUUCCACCAGUUCCACGUUUUUGGUAUGCUGCAGAACGGGAUGGUCCAGCAGAUACACCAGGAGAUUUCACAGGCCAAUCAUCCAUUAGCUUCAACCAGCUUGCAGAAAAUACUAUGCCACGAAUAUUGCUCUCCAACUGCACACGAAAUGUAGCAACUUUUUAUUAGAUAACAAAUAUACUUUGUUUUCUACUGCUAUUUAGUGCAGUAAUUUCUGCAGGGCCCUCAACAUUAUGUUACGGCUAUUUAUUGUGUGCCCAAUUUGAUUCACAGAAGCAAGUGAUACUAGCACGAAUGUAACAGCACUAAAUAUGCCAUUAUGUUUUACAUAUUAUUUUACUUUGCCUAAUAAAGACCUUUCUAUUUAGCACUACCGAUUAUCCAGCGCUGAGCCGUGUGAAGCGCUUGACGAAAUUGCCACCCACACUGUUCUGCUUUUUACUUGUAUAGUUGCGUCUAUAAUACAACAAUAACAAAGCCUUUAGUCCCAAACAAGUUGGGGUAGGCUAGAGCUGAAACCCAUAAGAUCUCGCAACCAACUCAUGGUUCUGGCACAUGGAUAGCAAGCUUUCACGCACCUCUAUCCAUGGCUAGUUCUUUGGUGAUACUCCAGUCCUUCAGAUCUCUCUUUACGGACUCCUCCCAUGGUUCUGGCACAUGGAUAGCAAGCUUUCACGCACCUCUAUCCAUGGCUAGUUCUUUGGUGAUACUCCAGUCCUUCAGAUCUCUCUUUACGGACUCCUCCCAUGGUUCUGGCACAUGGAUAGCAAGCUUUCACGCACCUCUAUCCAUGGCUAGUUCUUUGGUGAUACUCCAGUCCUUCAGAUCUCUCUUUACGGACUCCUCCCAUGGUUCUGGCACAUGGAUAGCAAGCUUUCACGCACCUCUAUCCAUGGCUAGUUCUUUGGUGAUACUCCAGUCUUCAGAUCUCUCUUUACGGACAACUCCCAUGUCAUGUUCGGUCUACCCCGACCUGGCGACCUCUCGACAUUAUCAGCACGAUUUAGACGCCCACUAUGCAAUGGAGCUUCUGGAGGCCUACGCUAAAUAUGACCAAACCAUCUCAGACGAUGGUAGACAAGCUUCUCUUCAAUCGGUGCUACUCCAACUCUAUCCCGUAUAUCAUCAUUCCGGACCCUGUCCUUCCUUGUGUGGCCUCUGAUCCAUCUCAACAUGCGCAUCUCCACUACAACUAAUUGUUGAACAUGACGCCUUUUAGUCGGCCAACACUCAGCGCCAUCAACAUUGCGGGUUGAAAUAUGCCUCAACAUUGCGUCAUAUAAUAACAUAUUCAUAUUAGCUAUUAUUGGAAUAUACCUUUUAGAUUGAGUUACUUUGUUUCUAGAAAUAUGCCUAAUUAUGUUACCCCUGUAUAUCGCCUCUAUUUGCUACCAUUACAUAAGCAUCCUCCAAUCUGCUAUUGAUAACCACACUUGUUCAUGGCCAUUCUUCAAGACUAGCUCCCUUAACCAAAUUGUUCUUUAGGAUGGAUCAAAACUUAGUAAAGUUGCAGAAAGUACAGUAUCUUAGGCUCCUACAAGAAAUACAAAAAGAAGGAGAGGCGGACUCCAGCUAAUUAUAUUAUCAGGUUAUCCAUGCAAUUUCUGCAAUCUCAAACAAUUCAAGAAAAUCUAUAAAUACUCAUAUAAGGUACGAGUUCAAAUUCAAGCUACAUAUGGAAAGAUUUUGUGUGGUGGAUCUCGACCGACCCAAGAAAAAGAAUACGAGAUCAGUUCUCGUGGCAUUAUUACAGGAGAACGAGGUGUAUAUGGCAUGGUGAAAUCCUCCACGCGGUUGUUAUUAUGGUUUACAGAGGUGGUUGUGUGCCUCGCUAGUGAACGCGGGAUUGCAUGUGAUCACUGCAGCUGAGAGGUGGUGGGGUACUCGAAGGCUCGGUGAUCUUAGGCUGGUCAUAGUGGAAAGUAACUUAGACUAGUAACAUAGUAACAUGCAUAUGUUACUAGCCUAUGUUACUAGCCUAUGUUACUACUAAUAACAUGCAUAUGUUACUAGUCUAUGUUACUGCCUUCAUAUGGGUACUAACAUGUGUGGUACCAUGCAAGCCUUCAUUUACUUAGAUGUAGACUCAUUUGCAUUGGGGUGUGUUAUAUUACGGUAACAUAUUAUGUUACCACAAACACUUCUCCUCAUUAACUACUUGCCACAUAAGCAAACUUGCCUUUGGGGUGCGUUGUGUUACUAGCUAAGUUACUCCCACUAUGACCAGCCUAAUUUUGUAUUUGAAAGCUGCGAGGUCUUAACCAUUCAUUGCGUCAAGGAGGGGUCAAGGGCUGCAAUUCAGAGUUGGUCCCCUCCCCAGAAAAUAUGCCUGUAAUGAAGACACAAUUGAAACACGCAGAGACUAAGUGCUGCAUUAACUAUGUUUCCUGAUUUUGUAAGUAACACUAGAUUCCACAUGAUGGCGUGACCACUAACUAGUGCGUCCCUAAAUACGCACAAAUAAAGUGGUAACCAACAAUUCUGUUCUUCAAAGUAUUACUGACAAGUAUCAAGGAUACUUAAAAAUUAGUUUGAAUCCUAGAACUCACUUCAAGUAAGAGGGGUAUUAUAGUUCUGCAGUUGGAAGCUUCUUGUAGCUGUUGAUGCCAUCGUUGUCUCUGCUGCAUGUCUUGUAGGGAACCAGCUAAAAGGCCACGUAAACUCUCCUCCAUGUUGGUCAGAUAAGCAACAAUGCUGGGGAAGUGGCUCUCGGAACUUUUGAUUACAUGCAUGGUACUAAAAAUUCGAGCAGAUCCUUUGGAAGCAUUUGCAGUGGCUAAAUUAAGAAAACAAGCCUUUUUAUUUCCAAUUGCCGAACUUUUACAGGCAAGGCACCAGCCACAUCUAUCUCUUGGGACUUCCAUAACCUUCUUUUCAGUACAUGGCCAAACAAAUUGAGCAGCUGCUGAGGAAAAUGCUUUCACUUGUAGAGCGCAGUCAGC